rnacentral:rRNA from 1 species
CGCAGGCUGCAACUCGCCCGCGUGAAGCCGGAGUUGCUAGUAAUCGCGGAUCAGAACGCCGCGGUGAAUGCGUUCCCGGGUCUUGUACACACCGCCCGUCACACCAUGGAAGUCGGGGGCGCCCGAAGUCGGUCGAGAAAUACGGCUGCCUAAGGUGAAACCGAUGACGUGGGGUGAAGUCGUAACAAGGUACC